CAUGAAGCCGGAAUCGCUAGUAAUCGCGGAUCAGAAUGCCGCGGUGAAUACGUUCCCGGGUCUUGUACACACCGCCCGUCACACCAUGGGAGUCGAUAACGCCCGAAGUCAGUGACCCAACCUUGUAGGGAGGGAGCUGCCGAAGGCGGGAUGGAUAACUGGGGUGAAGUCGUAACAAGGUAGC
rnacentral:rRNA from 1 species